rnacentral:misc_RNA from 1 species
GAUGAAGAACGCAGCGAAAUGCGAUAAGUAAUGUGAAUUGCAGAAUUCAGUGAAUCAUCGAAUCUUUGAACGCACAUUGCGCCCGCUAGUAUUCUGGCGGGCAUGCCUGUCCGAGCGUCAUUUCAACCCUCAAGCCCCCGGGCUUGGUGUUGGGGAUCGGCGAGCCUCCGCGCCCGCCGUCCCCUAAAUCUAGUGGCGGUCUCGCUGUAGCUUCCUCUGCGUAGUAGCACACCUCGCACUGGGAAACAGCGCGGCCUCGCCGUUAAACCCCCAACUUCUGAACGUUUGACCUCGGAUCAGGUAGGAAUACCCGCUGAACUUAAGCAUAUCAAUAAGCGGAGGA